CGAUGUGCGCGUGACUGGCGAGACAGGUGGAGCACCACCGUGCAGCGCGAACAUACCCCGCCGCUCGCCUGCGCACCCCUG
rnacentral:ncRNA from 2 species